AAACGGCGAACACGCUAAUCAUGUUGGCAUGCCACUAUCAGGUUAAACAACUCAAGUCAACUCAAAUCUCCCUCUCCUAAAUUCAAGCCUCCUUCGCUAUGCCGGAAUUCGUUGCCGGUGGCGGCGGAGCCUAAACUACUAAAUUCAUAUACCAUACUUCUCAUAUACAUUCCCUGAAUUCCAAUCCUUGAUCAGACUCUCAAAACUCAUCACUAAUUAAUCGAAUCGAGGUGACUUCUCUAUGAACCCUAGACAGUAAAACUCAAAUUAAACUCUUCCUACCCGGAAUUAAAAUCCGAGGGGUUGGGACUUUGAUUCUAUUCACCUCCAGCUACAUUACGGUAACAAGUUCGAUGCGAAACAAUGAAGAAAUCAACCUACCUGCCGUUGACGACGAAGAUGAAGACAAUUCUGGUUAUGGCUGCAGGAUAUUGCACAUUGGUAGACAUGAUUUGGUACGCCAUGGUUAGGAAAUUAGGUGGUUGGUUUACUGAUGUAAAUGAUUGAUGCCGAUUUUGGACGCCCUAUCAUGUCUCGAGUAACCUCCUGCAGGACUGUGGCCAAGGUAUUGGAGGGUCUGUUGCACACAUGUUUUGCAGGUUGAUGAUGUUGUUUGGCCUACUGCAGGGUUUGAAGUUAUAGGUUGCAGCUGAACCAUUUGCACUUAUGCUUGCAGGCUACAUAUUGCUAUGGUUAUAGCUUAAUUUGCAGGAUACACUUGCAGCAGAUGGCCUGUCAUGUAUUUUGGAUUGUAUGACUGCACCUUGUGAGAGUUUAUGCUGCUGCAGACACUGUUCAUAUGGAAUGGCACAUGUGAAGUUUAUGGAAAGUGAACUAUAAGCAAUGUGGUAAUGUGAUUCGUGUGAAUGAACUCUGGGAUGUUGUUUGGAUUGGUAACAAUGUGGGUUUAUUAUGUAGUUUGGCCUUGGCACGUGGCUUAUUGUUGAGUUCUGUUUUAGGUCCAUGUUUUCCUUGGCUUGAAAAGAUUUUGGUUAGGUUUAGGUAUGGUUUUGGGUAGGUUGUAAUGUGGUUAAUGUUAUGCAUAUUGAAAUAAACAUGUUUUAUAUA